GGAGACGUGCCCGAGUGGCUGAAGGGAGCGCCUUGCUAAGGCGUCGAGCGGUUUACCGUUCCGUGAGUUCGAAUCUCACCGUCUCCGCCA
rnacentral:tRNA from 1 species